CUCAGCAGACAUUUCCCUGUGAGGAAACCUUUUCUUUUAGUACCGUCCCAAGUAAAAUUUUUGAGGUUAAUUGUCAAAUACAAUUAUUCGACAUAAUUACAGUGAUACUAAGUCUCCAUCAUGGCCACAAUAUCACAAUAUGUGGUUUCGGUGCAUAUGUGGGAACACUCUCUUAAAUAAUUGAUUUAUUUGUCCAUCAAUAAAAAUGUAUAGAAUUUCAUGGUCAUUUUGUUAUUUCUGUCUGCUCAGUACCUCUGCUACUUAUUGGAAAAUUCCCCUCCCCAAUUGUAUGUGGUCUUAGUGUCCCAUAGCAGUGUUUGUUACAGUUACUCCCCACCCCAGCCGCAGAAAUGGGCAAUAGUCCAGACUGGAACAAUUGUGGAGGCUGACCAAGCAUGAGAUUGUGACUCAAGCAGGGCCAACCUGGUAAAGAGAAGUACAAACCUAGAGUUAUGUAUAGCUGUCUUCUCUACAACAUUGUGCCUGUCUGCAGAAAGAAACCAACAUACAGAAGAAAGAAGAAGAGGCAAAUGGUGUAGAGAGACAGGGACUCAGAAGCCAUGCCUGAUCUCUUCCCAGGUGCACGAGGCCCAUGAUCAAGAGAACAGGGUCAUCAGUGAGUUCCAUGUAAGGGUUCAAAGGCCAGCACCCCUGCCUCCCAACUGGAACAAUUCUCCAGAGCCAGCACCCCUGCCUCCCAACUGGAACAAUUCUUCCCUCUCCGGGGAAGCUUCAGCAGAGCUUCCUGCAGGAUUCGCUGUGGCCUUUGGUGAGGCUACGCGGCAGCACAAUUUCUUCCUGUGCCCAAUCCUAAAUUUCUUUUGCUUAAAAAAUUUAUGAUUUUAUAAAAACAAUAAUGCUUAUGCAUAUGUAACUUACCUGAAUUUCAGUUUUUCUUUUGUAAAAUGGGUCAAUAGUUGGCUCUAAGGCCUGAUUGUUUAAUUAAUACGUGUAAGUUGUGCUUUAUUACCUGUGAGAUACUAUAUAAAUAUAUCAGCACUAUAUUUAAACAGUCUCCCCGUUUUCUUCAGGCAGAGCAGAAAUAUGAUGCCUCUCAAGGUUCUACAGUAGUCACUGCCUCACUUAUUCACCCGCAGACUAAAAAUAUUUCAGUUAAAGUGGAUACAAAACUUGGCUCAGUAUUUCCUUGCUUUUCAAAAUACCUAGAUAGUUGUGCAUCCUAAAAACAAUGUUUUAGGUACAGCCAGUAAGUAAAAAUCAGCUCUUGUUUGUUUAAAAGCAUUUCCAUGUAACACCUAUUGCAAACAACACACCCCCAAAAUCAACAAACCCAGAAUCAUUCAUGGAAAGUUUUUUUUAACACUGUCAUGCUAUUGCAUCAGCCUAGUAUGCUAGAAGCACUCCCAGCAUUUUGGAGAUAAACAGUAUUACCCUUUGGAGUCCUUCCCAACUCAACAUUUGUUUUAAAUGAGCACUGAAAAUGUGACAAGGGGCCCUCAGUUCAUUUCACUUCAGCUGCUUCCACCUUCCCUCUGGACCAUGCCUGCCUUCUCAUCCACAUAAAGUCACAAUCUCCAAGCCUGUUGCAGAGGGCCUUUUAACUAGCCAUCCAUUUCGCUCUUAUCCUUGCAAGUUACCGUGAUGGUAAAUUUCAGGUGUCAGCUUGAUUGGCUUAAGGAUUGCCUAGAGCAACGGUAAAGCCUUAUUUCUGGAUGUUAUCUGACCCGCCAAACCACAGAGUUGCGCAUGCUCAGCAGCACUCCGUCAUCAGAUGUAUAUAUGGUCAGACCUGAGAAGGUCCUGAAGGCACGAGUAAGUCACGUGAACAUGUGGCCCAAGUUACCCCCGGUUCCUCCUCCUACCACCCUGCCUUCUCUC
rnacentral:lncRNA from 13 species